AUUUGCUCUUGGCCAAAGAACUAGAUGUGGCUUAAUUUUUGACAAGUCCUCAAGAGCACAGCAAUAGUGCUCAGAAUUUGUGUAUGAAAAAGCACUACUUAACCAUAAGGAUGAAAAGUGUGUCUCAAAAAAAAAAGUGUAUGUCUCCUUGGUUGUAAACUAUACCUUAAGAAGGGUGGUUCGGAAGAAUCCAUAAUACAGAAUUGACCAGACUGGACAGGUUGUAGUACUGAUUCCUGGAAAAUAGGAUUAUAUUUCUUUUUUACAAAUUUUUUUUUUGGUACUGGGGAUCAAACUCAGGACCUUUUGCUUGUGAGGCAGGCAUGGUGCCACUAAGCUAAAUCCCUGGCCCUUUUUUUUUGUUUUUUUUUUGAGACGGGCUCACUAUGUAGUUCAGGCUGGCCUUGAAAUCACCAUGAUCCUCCUGCCUUAGCCUCCCAAAUGCUGGGAUUACAGAUGUGCGCCAUUACAACUGGCUGUCAUUAUCUUUCUUACAGUUAUUUUUCAAAAAAAUCUCUGAAAGUUCUUUGAGUAAUGCCAUAGUUAAUUAAGUUUGACUCAACUCGUGUAGUUUUCUAAGAUGUCAUUUUUUUUUUUUCUUUUUGGUUUUUUGAGACAGUCUUUCUAGGUAGUCCAGGUUGGCCUUGAACUUACUAUGUAUCCCAGGAGGAUCUCAAAUUCCAGGUCAGCCUGGGCAACAUAGGUCUCAACAAACGAAAAUACACAGACACACUUUCAGUGUGUGAAUGGAAGUGUCUCAGUUUGGAAAUAUUUUCGUGAGAGUUUGAAGUGACUUGUGAUAAAAAUCUAUUUGUCCAUUGUAGUUGGAAAUCAUGAGUUUAGUAAGCUGAUCAAUCUGCCAGUCAGUGCAUCCUCUAAUGGUGGAGGGUUUAUAGAACUUUGUUUUCUUUGGUAUUUUUUAAGAAAGAAGAAACUCAAGAUUUUUUUCUGAAUUCUAGGUAAGUUAAGAUGUGGUUACUGCCUUUAGGAGCUUCCAUUGUGGGGCUUGGCAUGGGUUGGCAAAUUGGCCUUGAGUGCAUGCUGCAAAUGUGUACAUGGAAGAGAUGGUAAAGAGGGUAGGUGUUGGGCCGGGAUUUAGCUCAGUGGUUUCACCGCCUGCUGUGCAAGCGCAAGGACCCGAGUUCGAUCCCCGAUACCAAAAAAAAAAAAAGAUUACUUUGACAAUGGAGAGGGGAGAAAGCAGAGGCAGGUAAACAACCAGUGCUGGGGAAGUGACAGGGACUUGGAUCAAGUCUGGAGAUAGCAAAGGCAGGAUAGUUUUGACAGGCUGUAGGUGGAAGAUUAGCAAGACAGUGCCUUUGGUGGUGAGGACAGUGCUUGAUAUCUGAACAGAACUUGAGACCCGCAGUGAUAGGAAUGAUAGGCUCAUUUCUGAUGUGAUGGAUGAAUUUGAGGUAGCUGACUUCUGG
rnacentral:lncRNA from 1 species